rnacentral:rRNA from 1 species
AGCGAACGCUGGCGGCAGGCCUAACACAUGCAAGUCGAACGAAGUCUUCGGACUUAGUGGCGGACGGGUGAGUAACACGUGGGAACGUACCUUUUGGUUCGGAACAACUCAGGGAAACUUGAGCUAAUACCGGAUGAGCCCUUAGGGGGAAAGAUUUAUCGCCGAAAGAGCGGCCCGCGUUAGAUUAGCUAGUUGGUGAGGUAAAGGCUCACCAAGGCUACGAUCUAUAGCUGGUCUGAGAGGAUGAUCAGCCACACUGGGACUGAGACACGGCCCAGACUCCUACGGGAGGCAGCAGUGGGGAAUCUUGCGCAAUGGGCGAAAGCCUGACGCAGCCAUGGCGCGUGAAUGAUGAAAGUCUUAGGAUUGUAAAAUUCUUUUACCAGGGACGAUAAUGACGGUACCUGGAGAAAAAGCCCCGGCUAACUUCGUGCCAGCCGCCGCCGUAAUAC